rnacentral:rRNA from 1 species
UACGUAGGGGGCCAGCGUUGCUCGGAAUUACUGGGCGUAAAGGGCGCGUAGGCGGUCUGUUAAGUUCGGUGUGAAAGCCCCCGGCUCACCUGGGGAACUGCGCCGGAAACCGACAGACUCGAGUACCGGAGAGGAGGGUGGAAUUCCUGGUGUAGCGGUGAAAUGCGUAGAUAUCAGGAGGAACACCGGUGGCGAAGGCGGCCCUCUGGACGGAUACUGACGCUGAGGCGCGAAAGCUAGGGGAGCAAACGGG